ACGAAGGCUUUGAGCCGCGAAUAGGAUUAGAUACCCUAGUAGUCAAAGGAGAGAAUUAUGAGUGCCAUAGAUUAGAAAUAUUUUGAUCUAUAAAUGAAAGUGCAAGCACUCCACCUUAUGAGUAAUGUGGCAACACCGAAAUUGAAAUCAUUAGACCGUUUCUGAAACCAGUAGUGAAGUAUGUUGUUUAAUUUGAUGAUCCACAAAAAACCUUACCACAACUUGCAUAUWCUUAUUUMAAUAUGUAUACAAGCGUUGCACGGCUGUCUUAAGUUAAUGUCGUGAGACUUUGAUUAGAUUCAUUAAAUUGACGUAAACCCUCGUUUUACUUUUAUGUAAAAYGGUUCACCGUUAUAUUGGAURUGAUAAYAGGGAAYAAGACAAGUCAUCAUGGCCUGAAUGUUGUGGG
rnacentral:rRNA from 1 species